rnacentral:lncRNA from 13 species
CCCUCCCACGGCAGUGUGAGAGCUCUCUCUCCUUCUCUGUCUCUCUGCUAAACUCUUUGGGUCCACGAUAUUUAUUCAAACGUUGCUGACUUGUGAUACGUGGGCAACUCAUCAUACGUUGCUCAACUCCACUCUGUCCACUACUGGUAUUUCCAAUAAACCAGUUAGGUGAGUUGAGACUCUUCCCACAUCACCACGGCCAUGUCUCUGAUGUAGCAAGAAGGCCCUUACCAGAUGCCAGCACCUUGACAUUGAUCUUUCUAGCCUCCAGAACUGAAUAUAAUCUCAGAAUAAAGAAGCAACUGAACAAAAUGGAAUAGAUGACUUGAGAAGGAGAAGAGAAGAAAGGAGACCAUAACAGUUAAGAGAAAAUAGUUAAUUCUAAGUGACAUUUGUGGCACAGCAAGAUUGAGAGUUUCACAGUACAAAGAAAGACGUAUCAGGAAAAAAGUUUCCUACUAUUACGGUGAUUAAGGGAUCCUUUCUAAGAUAGGAAGCAAAGUGCGUGAGGCAUGAAUUGAUUUCAGCAGCUUAUAACCAAGGUCUGAACUGUGAUUGGCAGGACAAUUUAGAUUCUAAGGAGAUGGGAUCCCAGAAAUCCAAAGAAGACGUAGGAGGUUGAUUAUAUUGGUCCUUUCAUUGAAUUAGAGAAUGUUCUUCACCUCAUUUCCUCUAAAAUAUCUUUUCAAAACAAAAUUACUUUAAAGAGCUUUUUCUCUGAG